UUGUCCUGGCCUCUGCUUCCUCUGCUCCGCUGUGCUCAGCUGUAACAGGGGAGUCUGGCAGGACACACAGCAAUCCUCUCAGUUUAGGAGGGCUGUCCUGAGUGUGGGGCUGGCUCUUAAAGGCACAAGAGGACAAU